GACGAACGCUGGGCGGCGUGGAUUAGGCAUGCAAGUCGAACGGUAGGAUACCUUCGGGUAUCUGAGAGUGGCGAACGGGUGAGUAACACGUAGGUGAUCUACCCUCAAGAUUGGGACAACCCAGGGAAACUUGGGCUAAUACCGGAUGAAAGCAGCAGUGAUGUUGUUUGAAAGGUGGCGUAAGCUGCCGUUUGGGGAUGAGCCUGCGCUCUAUUAGUUAGUUGGCGGGGUAAAGGCCCACCAAGGCGAUGAUAGAUAGGCGGCCUUAACGGGUGGUCGCCCACACUGGGAUUGAGAUACGGCCCAGACUCCUACGGGAGGCAGCAGUCGAGAAUAGUCUACAAUGGCCGAAAGGCUGAUAGUGCGACGCCGCGUGAACGAAGAAGCCCUUCGGGGUGUAAAGUUCUUUUAUAUGUGAGCAGUGCUUUCUAUGUGAACAGCAUGGGGAGAGAGAUAUUAGCAUAUGAAUAAGCAACGGCUAACUCCGUG
rnacentral:rRNA from 1 species